rnacentral:lncRNA from 1 species
UGAAGACCUCAGUUCAAGAACCUUCCAGAAAUGGUAAAAAAAACAUUCAAUAUAGGCGCAACAUUAUUAGUGAGAAUGCGAGCACCAAAACAGGAGGCUGAAGAGGUUGGAAACAAACCUUUCAAAGAAAGCUUUUUGCGACAAGAUGGCGGCAGCUGCCCAGGGCAGGAGAAGUGGUGGUGGCGGAGGCAGUAGUGGGGCCAGCGGUGGUCUCAGCUGCGUGACAGGCAGUAGCCUCAGUGGCAUGUUGGCUAAGUGGAAGACGGAUGAGAAGCAUGGAAAAACUGACAAGUGGGAUGGAUCCGCUAUGAAAAACUCUGGAUGAUUCUGCCAGAAAGG